rnacentral:rRNA from 1 species
GACAGAGGGUGCAAACGUUGUUCGGAAUUACUGGGCGUAAAGCGCGUGUAGGCUGUUCUGCAAGUCGGGUGUGAAAGCCCCGGGCUCAACCUGGGAAGUGCACUCGAAACUGCGGAACUCGAGUCCUGGAGAGGAAGGCGGAAUUCUCGGUGUAGAGGUGAAAUUCGUAGAUAUCGAGAGGAACACCGGUGGCGAAGGCGGCCUUCUGGACAGUGACUGACGCUGAGACGCGAAAGCGUGGGGAGCAAACAGG